GCUGUUCUAUUAUUCUCACAAAUACCAUGACAGGGCCUGCACAGUCUCUGAUGUCCACAGUCUAUGCCUGCAGGGCAAACGUCACGCUGGGGGCUUAGAGGAUUUCCAGCAAACAGUCAUUCCAGACUGAAAAGUCCCUGUAUUGCGAUCUGCUGAAAUAUAGCCUUAGUAAAUCAAAGAUGCAAUUUGGGGGAAAAUUUGUGCCUGCUUUUUUAUUAUGAUCAUAAUUUAUCUUUGGUUAUAAUAGCACCUUCAAGAUUUUCCUCAUUAACAUUAUGGGCAUGAUAAGAUUACUGACUGUUAUUUUUAUUGGAAAGAAUGAACGUGUGAGACAUGGUACAGUCCCAAACACUGUGCUUUACAGACAAGACGGACAAAGACAGUGCUACUGGGACUAUCAUUUCUGUGUAUGCUUCAGAGAACUCAGGCGCACACUGAUUAUGGAAAACUAGGACAGAGCCAGGAAAUGAUUUCAAGUCUCCUGAAUCCCAAUAUGUCAAAUGAGAGACCAACUUCUGCUAUCAGUGUUUCUGUGAUAAAUGUGGUGAUAAUUCAGGUGGAAAACAGGCGGAGAAAAUGCAAGUUGGAAAAUUGGCCAUCUGUGGACAUCUUCCUUCUACAAGCAAUGUUAUCCUCGCCUGCCAGGUACUUUUCAGUUUCUGCAAAAAAGGACUCCAUAGACCACAGUCUUCUUUACUGGAUAAUCCUAAUGCCACUAAAGAAGAAGAUGGAAAAAAUGCCAUGGUUGAUUUCAAUGGAGGAUGAGCCUUAUAUUUUUCAUAGUACCCCUGUCAUUCACUGAACCUUUCCAUCUGCCAUUCAGUUCCAAUGAGCUGCAGGGCUAUAGUUCAAUUCUACCUGUACACCUGAAAAAAAGUUAAUAUCAAAUAAUUAAAAUUACGUUCAAUAUUUUAUCACGUUUUCUUUGCUGUUUCAUCAUGAUUUCUAAACAUACUUCAUUUUUAUAUUCUCUGAUCCACUUAGCAUGCACUUGGUGUUUAUUAUUACUAGAUUUCAUGAAAUUUUUUCGAGAAAGAGAGCAUGGACACUAGCUGUUAUUUUUUAGUGAUUAUUAUCUGAACAAAUCUAGAUCUGUUAACUUCAGAGAAGCUGAAUUUACACUCAGG
rnacentral:lncRNA from 1 species